rnacentral:miRNA from 1 species
AUAACCUUUGUCUUUGAAAGACGAGCGAAAUUGUAUUGUUAUUGUUAACAAUACAAUUUCGCUUGUCUUUCAAAGACAAAGUGUCAA